rnacentral:lncRNA from 1 species
GAAAUUUCUAUGACCAUGAUAAAUUAGUUGAUAAUAAGGGAAAUUAAAUGUGGUCAAACUUUUAAUUAGUUGAAAAUUACGGUACAUGGCUUUUUAGUGAAAAAGUGGCACGGCACGUGACCUUUUAAUAAAUGAACAUAAGCUAGUCAAGGACCUCAGAUGGAAAUUUGAGGAACUCGAGUGUACCAGAUGUCUUUAUCCAAG